rnacentral:pre_miRNA from 1 species
CCCAGGAGGUGGCGGCUGCAGUGAGCUGAGAUUGUGCCACUGUACUCCAGCCUGGGUGACAGAGUGAGACUCCGUCUCAAAAAAAAAAAAAAAAAAAAAAAAAUUUUUUUUGAGACGGAGUUUCACUCUUGUUGCCCAGGCUGGAGUGCAAUGGCGUGAUCUCGGCUCACUGCAACCUCUGCCGCCGGGG